rnacentral:rRNA from 1 species
GGAAAAUGAGUAGAUCAUGGCACGGCCGCAGGAUAAAUACAUUGCGUACCACAUCGUCGACACGCCACUGACUGACGCAACCUGCGUGUAAACGAGAAGACGACGACGGCCCAGGCAUGGAGAAAAGGGCCGGCAAUCUUCUGGAGCCACACAACCGGCCGCAUCCCACUCCAGCAAGCUAGCUAGCUAGGUCAAGAUACACACAUCAUCAUGCAUGGCUCCGAAUUAUUUCCCAGCAUGAUACAUGCAUGCAUGUAUAUCCUCGUCAGUCUGUUUCAUAUCCACCAGCUGACUUUUCAGCUAAAAUUUUAGUAAUGUCAUGAUGGCAAUUAUGUGAUAAAUGCAUAAUAAUUUAGUAAACGUUAGAGAUAGUACUACUAAACUUUUACUGAUAGAUACUAGCUCGAAAUAUUAGCUGGGAGCUGCUAAAUUCUGUUGACACGAGGCAAAAAUAUUUGACUUUGUAUAAAAAUAGUGAAGAGACAUAUAUUUUGGACCGAAGAUUGUACAUGUAAAUUGGACAAGCUUUGCAUAAAAAGUACAAAACUACUUUUUUGACACACAUGAGUCCUCUAUAUGAAAGCUGAACAGGGGUCGAGAGGACAAGCUAGGUUGUAGUAGUGGGCAUCUUCUAACAAACCGGCCGUAGCUUACCAAAUCGCCAUAAAGGAAGGCUUGGAGCUAUGUGCACAUAUGUGUGGCCCAUGAAUCUUCCAAAGGACCAUGCAUGAAUGCUAGGUGACAAAUGUACUUGGAUCGCCAUGACAUCAGAGAGAUGCGUGGUAGUUACACAUGCCAACAAAAAGUUACAACUAAUUAGACAGACGUGCACUCACAUGCAUAUCCUUGUGCUAAAAACUAAAAAUUAAAUUACGAGUGCUAACAAUUUUCCUAAAAAUACAUCCAAGUAUCUUUUUAUGCUGUCAAUUUUCAUGGGAAAUACUGUUACCAUGGCCCCUUUUGCAACAUACUAUUUACAGCUUUACAUGUUUUCUUCUCACUCGUUUUUUCGUGAAAAAAGACCCUUGUCACCGUUUUCCCUUUGAAAAAUUAGGUGUAAAAGGAUUUCAAACAUUUGCAUGUUCAUUUGUUUUCUGCAAACUUUUAACUCGGGAGUAAACGUUUGCAUCUGCAAGUGCGAUUUAACAGCAUCCAUAUGCCAAAGAAAAUGGGGCGGGAAAAUAUAUUUUGUGAUGUGUGAUAUGGUGUGGCGUGUCUCAUAUAUAUAGUACUAGGCCCAAAAGAGGAGGAAAGUGUGGGCAAUCAUGCGUGCAAAGGGGGAUCAUGAAAAGAUGGAUGGACGGCAGUUUCAUCCUUCAAGCAAGGGCCAAUCAUUCAAGCUGUACUACCAGCUCUUCUGUAGACAUAUCUUGCAAGCAAGAAUUGAUAACCCAUUGUCUUGAUGGACAUGACAACUCAAUUCAUAAUUCUUUUCUUUUCCACACUCACUUUUCGAUCUGUCCCUGAAGGAAUUAAUAAGGUUGAUCAUAUCACCUCUUGUUUAAAUGAUGCAGAGGCCGGGGAUCAUCCUCCUUUUCUAAAAAAAAGACCUUUUGUUUAAAUUAUCACUACUUGGUAUUUGUUAAUUCAGCGCCAUUAUCAACAAGACCAAAAUGAACGAACAUAAUCACUGCUGAUGAAAAUAAUUUGUAAUUCAGCAGCAUGAUUCCAAUAUCAUUAUGCAAGAUAUUAGAGACAGUGGUAUUAACAUACCCAUACAUCGCAUUUACAAGUGGAUAAUACCACGACAAAUCCAUAAAGGAAAUAAUGGAGGUGCAACAAGGGUCAAUCAAUGCGUGAGAUCAAGAAUAAUAAUGUUGCUCAGAUACAGUCAUACAGAUCAUGCAACAAUUUAUUUCGUUCUUCUGCGUCCAACUCUUCAGUUGCUGGAAAAAAGAUAUUACUUUGUGCCCCUAACAAUCAUCAAGACAUACAAGAUUAAGCUAGGCACGCCAAAUAUAUGGAACUAGACCCUCUUUCUGAUUAAGAAGAUCAAGAAAGCCAUAAUUAUGGCAGUUAGUUUUCAUCAAAUUCCUGCAAAUGUUCUGGCAAGAAAUUGACCUAGCUACCUACAACGGUUUAGUAGGAAAAGACCGAUGGAUCUAAGUCUGAAAAAUAAGCACAUACAUACAUUAACCUGAGUACUGCCAAAGCAGCCUAAACAGUAAGUAUAAAAUAACAUAACUAAUGUCAAAGGCUGCCUAAGCAGUCUAUAGCAUCUCACAUAUGCAAAAAAGGGGACAUAAAUACCUAAAUUCCGAUCUAAAUAAAACAACUAAAUCACAAGCCACAAGAUCGGUUCAGAUAUUACUACCGGGACAGGUCAAUUUACACGUCACCUCAUGAAAGAAAACUUUCGUUCUUGGCCGGUAAAUCUUGGAGAGGAAACGUAAAGGAAUAAUCGACAGGAUCUGAAGAAAACUAGACUAGUAACACCCAAGAAACCCAGAUCCGCUCUACUGUGAUGAAGGAUCGAAAGAAAAGAACCAAGACAGAAUCAACCUACACAGGAAUUAAUGACUAGCCAGGCAGGCACGGCCGAGCAUCGAUCGGGGCAGUGAGGCGAGUUGGAUGGAUCUCGCCUUGAGGAUAACCUGCAGGAAGGGUAGAUGGUCCACCCGUCCAUGGAUAGAUUUCAUGGGAUUUUAGGGUUUUCGUUGUGCUCCGACCAGCAGAUGAAACUCCAGCAUGACCUGAUUGACAUGGAUUCUGAUCCAUGAGUUAGGUCAUCAGAUCAUGCUGGCAGCUUCACCAGCUUGUGGUGCACCUUGAUCUACCCAUCAAAGAGAAAGGGGAAUAACUCCGGCACUUUGGCGAGAGAGAGAUGAGGGAGGGAGAGAGAGAGAGAGGUGGGAAU